rnacentral:lncRNA from 1 species
GAAAUUUUAUAAAACAAGGAAUACCUUAUUUUAUCAACCGCCUGAGGGGCUGAGUAUGAAUAGAGGUCCUUUUAAUGCCUUUGAAAAGAUGCAUUGUCCUGAGUCAUCCAAGAGGAUGAACAGUGUGAGCUUGGAGCUAGACUGAAGACUCUCCGUCCUCUGCCUGAAUCCACAUGCAGUCCCUUUGGCAAUUGAAGUUACAAGGAUAACAUCUCUUUUGUUGACAUAAAACAUGGGAGCUUCAGUGGCAGGAUCUCAUUAUCUGAUUACAGAUGUGACUUUGAAGUAAUCUCUCUGAAUGAGCAUUUUAGGAAGAGUUGUUGCUCCCAGGCCAAGCCCAAGGUUGUGGAAGAGGAUUUGCAAAGGGCAUCAGAAAAGAUGACUGAAAGGGUUCUCCAUUCCCAAGCAAGAGGGAACCCUGAUGGCCAGAAGGAACACAGGAACCACAGCGCAUGGCACAGAACAGUGACCAGGAAGGCCGAAGG